GAAGAAUAUCCAAGCACACAAGUUGAAACUUGUUAGUUGCCGGCCUGAAAACUAUCGAGUGUCAUAAAGUGUGAAUUCGAAAAUUCUGAUUAAUUCUGGUCUGAUGUCGAUUAAAGAUUGCACAUUAUCGAGAAUGAGAAAUGAAAACGAGACAAGUUA